rnacentral:lncRNA from 1 species
GUCUCAAAAAAACAAAAACAAAAAGAAAAAAAUUUGUAAUAAUAACAAUCAUGCCCCUAGUGGUCUAGUGGCUAGGAUUAAAAAAAAAAAAAUCUUGAAUAUUUAUUGAGCUCUUACUUUGUGCCAGGCCACGUGCUGGGUGCUUUAUUACAUUGAUUGCUUCAUUUAACACUAUUACAAGCAAAUGAGCUGCAGGGACUCUCAUUACAAUCAGUUUCCAAAUGAGGAAACUACAGAAUUAGUUAAUUGUUCAAGGUUACUCCUGAUAAAUGAGAUCAGGGGUUUGAACCACUAUGUGUCAGGCACUCUAGCCUGUGCCCUUAGCCACUCUGACUUAAUAUCGUCUAUGUGUUUCAACAGUGGAGGCUUUUGAAGAACACCAGAUUGGUUUUUAAUAACACAAAUAGAAGAUAGGAAAGAAUUAUAAAAUCCAUUUGUUGUUGGGUAUUGUGGUUCACGCCUGUAACCUUAGCACUUUGGGAGGCCCAGACAGGUGGACUGCUUGAGCUCAGGAGUUUGAGACCAGCCUGGGCAACAUGGCAAAACCCCGUCUCUACCAAAAAAUACAAAACUUAGCUGGGUGUGGUGGUGCAUGUCUGUGGUCCCAGCUACUUGGAAGGCUGAGGUGGGAGAAUGGCUUGAGCCUGGGAGGCGGAGGUUGGUUGCAGUGAGCCGAGAUCACAACACUGCACUCCAACCUAGGUGACAGAGUGACAGAGUGAGACCCCAUCUCAAAAAAAAAAAAAAUCCAUUUGUUUGUAGCUAACAUCAAUUUAGCUACCCAGCUCAAGAAGCGUCUGUCAUUAACAUCACCAAUAGUGAAGAAAGCUGAGAUCAUAUAUGCCUCCUGAUAUAAUCCACUGAGGACAAAACAUUUCGUGUAGCAUUUCUGCCCAAAGUGCAUGAUCAGAACCUAAUCAUGAGGAAACCCAAAUUGAGGGACAGUCUAUGAAAGAACUAGCCUGCAGUCUUCAAAAUGUCAAUGAUGCCAUGCGCCAUGGCAUGCAACUGUAGUCCUAACUAUUUUGGAGGCUGAAGCAGGAGGAUUGCUUCAGUCCAAGAGUUCAAGACCAGACUGAACAACACAGCAAGACCCUGUCUUAUGAAACAAAAAAAAAAGUUACCUGUAAUCCUAGCAAUUUGAGAGGCCGAGGCAAGAGGACCACUUGAGAUCAGGAGUUCCAGACCACCCUGGGCAACAUGGCAAAACCCCAUCUCUACAAAAAAAUAAAAAUAAAUAAAAAUAAAGAGUUGAUGCUGUGAAGGACAAAGAAAGGCUGAGGAACUCCUCCAGAUUUAAAGGGAUGAAAUGGAACCACCAUAAAGUGCAAUGUAUGGUCUUGAAUUGGAUCCUGGCGAGAAGGGGGUCAAAAGUGCUAUAAAGGACAUAUCCGGGGUAAUUGGUGAUAUUCUAAUAUGAACAUUAUAUUAGAUAACAAUAUUAUAACAAUAACAAACUCCUCAAAUGUGAUCAUGAUACAGUAGUGAUACAUAUCAUCAAAAUAGUGAGAUAUUUAGACAUGAAGUCAUAAACCUGGCUAUUCCGAAGGUAGUGAGUGACCUCAAUUGAUUGUUCGCAGUCAAAGAUUGAAAUCCUUAUUCUCCUCUUUUCCCCCUUUCACUACUGCACUUGACUAGUCUUAAAAAGAUAAAUAAACAUAAUAAAUAUGCUGGGCAUGGUGGCUCACACAUGUAAUCCCCACAUUUUGGGAGGCUGAGGUGGGAGGAUCACUUGAGCCCAGGAGUUCAAGAACAGCCUGGAAAACAUGGCAAAAUCCCAUCUCUACAAAAAAUACAAAAAUUAGCCAGGCAUGGUGGCACACACCUGUAGUUCCAGCUACUCAGGGGACUGAGGCAAGAGGAUCAUUUGAGCCUGGGAGGUCGAGGCUGCAGUGAGCCAAGAUCACACCACUACACUCCAGCCUGGGCCACAGAGCGAGACCCUGUCUUUAAAAUAAGUACAUAAAUAAAUAACAUAAACUUUAGAUACUUGAUUUCAAGUUUCAUAACUUUAUAACUUCAGCAUAUUGCACAGGCAAAGAAUAAUGAUGAAGAAAUAAAAUAAUUUAUAUACCAGGAGAAAUACUAAUUGAAGCAUAGAUAGAUUUUCAAUUUCCCAUGAAUUUCUUUAAUCCUGCCAGCCAUUGUCAUUUUUAGGAGAGGAUGAAAAGCUUUCUUUUUUUAAUUGUUAGAAUUUUAUUUAUUUAUUUUUACUUUUAGUAUUUAUUUAUUUAUUUAUUUAUUUUUGAGAUGGAGUUUCAGUCUUUUUUCCCAGGCUGAGUGCAAUGGCAUGAUCUCGGCUCACUGCAACCUCCACCUCCUGACUUCAAGAUUGUCCUGCCUCAGCCUCCCAAGUAGCUGGGAUUACAGGCAUGUGCCACCAUGCCCUGCUAAUUUUGUAUUUUUAGUAGAGACGGGGUUUCACCAUGUUGGCCACGCUGGUCUCAAACUCCUGAUCUCAGGUGAUCCACCCGCCUCAGCCUCCCAAAGUGCUAGGAUUAUGGGCGUGAGCCACCUUGCCUGGCCUAAUUUUUAGAAUUUUAAAAUUUUAAAUUUUUAUUUAUUUAUUUCAUAAACACAGUAAAUAACACUGUUUAGGUGUUCUUUGGUUUUUCUCAGUCAUGUGUAGCAUAUAGGUAUUGCACAUAUUUUGUUAAAUUUAUCCUUGAGUAUUUCAUUUUGUUGCUAUCAUGAAUGAUAUUUUAAUAUAUAUAUUCAUUUAUUUCAAUAGCUUUUGUGGUACAAGCAGUUUCUGGUUACACUGAUGAAUUGUAUAGUUGUAAAGUCUGAGAUUUACGUAUCACCCAAGUAGUAUACAUUGUACCCAAUAUGCAGUUUUUAAAUCCAUCAUCCCUCUUCUACAACUCCGCCUUCUGAGUUUUCAAAGUCCAUUAUAUCAAUCUGUAUGCCUUUGCAUACCCAUAGUUUAGCUCCCACUUAUAAAUGAGAAUAUGUAGUAUUUGGUUUUCCAUUCCUGAGUUACUUCACUUAGAAUAAUGGCCUCCAGCUCCAUCCAUGUUGCUGCAAAAGACAUUAUUCGGUUCUUUUUAUGACUGAGUAGUAUCCAUGGUGUAUAUAUAUCACAUUUUCUUUGUCCACUCAUGGGUUGAUGGGCACCAAUCAACCAAUUGGUUGGUUGCAUAUCUUUGCAAUUGUGAACUGUGCAGCAAUAAACAUGCAUGUGCAGGUGUCUUUUUGAUAUAAUGACUUAUUUUCCUUUGGGUAGAUACCCAGUAGUGGGAUUGCUGGAUCAAAUGGUAGAUCUUUAAGAAAUCUCCAUACUAGACAUUAAAAGAUCAGUGGUUGUCAGGAGUUGUGGGCGGGGAGGGAGGGAUGAAUAGGUGGAACACAGAGGAUUUUUCGGGCAGUGAAAAUACUCUGUGUAAUACCAUAAAGAUAGAUUACAUGUCAUUAUAAAUUUGUCCAAACCCAUAGAAUGUACAACACUGAGAGUGAACUUUAAUGUAAACCAUGGACUCUGGGUAAUUAUGAUGUGUCAAUGUAGGUUUGUCAAUUGUAACAAAUGUACAGGUGGGGGAUGUUGACAGUGGGGAGGCUGUGCAUGUGGC